GGGGUUGUGGCUCAGCAGUAGAGCACUCGCCUAGCAUGGGCGAGGCCCUGGGUUUGAUCCUCAGCACCACCU
rfam:Ictidomys tridecemlineatus contig018033, whole genome shotgun sequence.